rnacentral:rRNA from 1 species
GACGAACGCUGGCGGCGUGCUUAACACAUGCAAGUCGAACGGAAAGGCCCUGCUUUUGUGGGGUGCUCGAGUGGCGAACGGGUGAGUAACACGUGAGUAACCUGCCCUUGACUUUGGGAUAACUUCAGGAAACUGGGGCUAAUACCGGAUAGGAGCUCCUGCUGCAUGGUGGGGGUUGGAAAGUUUCGGCGGUUGGGGAUGGACUCGCGGCUUAUCAGCUUGUUGGUGGGGUAGUGGCUUACCAAGGCUUUGACGGGUAGCCGGCCUGAGAGGGUGACCGGCCACAUUGGGACUGAGAGACGGCCGAGACUCCUACGGGAGGCAGCAGUGGGGAACAUUGCACAAUGGGCGGAAGCCUGAUGCAGCAACGCCGCGUGCGGGAUGACGGCCUUCGGGGUGUAAACCGCUUUCGCCUGUGACGAAGCGUGAGUGACGGUAAUGGGUAAAGAAGCACCGGCUAACUACGUG